rnacentral:rRNA from 1 species
GACGAGGGGUCCAAGCGUUGUUCGGAAUCAUUGGGCGUAAAGCGGGUGUAGGUGGCUUUGUAAGUCAGGAGUGAAAUCCCCGAGCUUAACUUGGGAAGUGCUUUUGAAACUGCAGAGCUUGAAUGUGGGAGAGGAUCGUGGAAUUUCAGGUGUAGCGGUGAAAUGCGUAGAUAUCUGAAGGAACAUCAGUGGCGAAAAGCGACUUCCUGGACCAAUACUGACGCUCAUGUGCGAAAGCGUGGGGAGCAAACAGG